UACGUAGGGUGCAAGCGUUGUCCGGAAUUAUUGGGCGUAAAGAGCUCGUAGGCGGUCUGUCGCGUCGGCUGUGAAAACCCGGGGCUCAACCCCGGGCCUGCAGUCGAUACGGGCAGACUAGAGUGCGGUAGGGGAGACUGGAAUUCCCGGUGUAGCGGUGAAAUGCGCAGAUAUCGGGAGGAACACCAGUGGCGAAGGCGGCUAUCUGGACGGUUUCUGGACGCUAAGACGCGAAAGCGUGGGGAGCAACAGG
rnacentral:rRNA from 1 species